GCGAACAUGGGUCGAACGGCAUGUAAAAUGGCUUUGGACAAACCAUCCCAUUGGUUCAACAAAAAAUAAAAUAUAACAUCAGGGAGAUAGAUGGAUGGUAUUAGAGAGAUGUUGUGAUUUUUAAUGAAACAUUGAAUAAUGACGUGACUGUGUAUUGGGGCUAUAGCAAACCUCACAGAGUCUUGGGUUGACCGUGCUUGUAAAGUAUGUUAGCGGAU